rnacentral:rRNA from 1 species
UACGUAGGGGGCUAGCGUUGUCCGGAAUCAUUGGGCGUAAAGAGCGCGUAGGCGGCCCGGUAAGUCCGCUGUGAAAGUCGGGGGCUCAACCCUCGAAUGCCGGUGGAUACUGUCGGGCUAGAGUGCGGAAGAGGCGAGUGGAAUUCCUGGUGUAGCGGUGAAAUGCGCAGAUAUCAGGAGGAACACCUAUUGCGAAGGCAGCUCGCUGGGACGUAACUGACGCUGAGACGCGAAAGCGUGGGGAGCGAACGGG